rnacentral:rRNA from 1 species
AAUCAACGCUGGCGGCGUGCCUCAGACAUGCAAGUCGAACGAUUAAGACUUCCUUCGGGAAGUGUAUAAAGUGGCGCACGGGUGAGUAACACGUAAGUAAUCUACCUUCGAGUGGGGAAUAACAUCGGGAAACAGAUGCUAAUACCGCAUAAUGCAGCGGCAUCGCAAGAUGACAGUUGUUAAAGGAGCAAUUCGCUUGAAUAGGAGCUUUCAGCAGAUUAGCUAGUUGGUAAGGUAAUGGCUUACCAAGGCUACGAUCUGUAUCCGGUCUAAGAGGACGGUCGGACACACUGACACAGAAUAACGGGUCAGACUCCUACGGGAGGCAGCAGUCGGGAAUUUUGGGCAAUGGGCGAAAGCCUGACCCAGCAACGCCGCGUGAGGGAUGAAGUAUUUCGGUAUGUAAACCUCGAAAGAAUGGGAAGAAUAAAUGACGGUACCAUUUAUAAGCUCCGGCUAACUACGUGCCAGCCGCCGCAGUAAUAC